rnacentral:rRNA from 1 species
CCUACGGGCGGCAGCAGUGGGGAAUAUUGGACAAUGGGCGAAAGCCUGAUCCAGCCAUGCCGCGUGUGUGAAGAAGGCCGUCGGGUUGUAAAGCACUUUCAGUGGGGAAGAAAGCCUUGGGGCUAAUACCCUCGAGGAAGGACAUCACCCACAGAAGAAGCACCGGCUAACUCCGUGCCAGCAGCCGCGGUAAUACGGAGGGUGCGAGCGUUAAUCGGAAUUACUGGGCGUAAAGCGCGCGUAGGCGGUCUGAUAAGCCGGUUGUGAAAGCCCCGGGCUCAACCUGGGAACGGCAUCCGGAACUGUCAGGCUAGAGUGCAGGAGAGGAAGGUAGAAUUCCCGGUGUAGCGGUGAAAUGCGUAGAGAUCGGGAGGAAUACCAGUGGCGAAGGCGGCCUUCUGGACUGACACUGACGCUGAGGUGCGAAAGCGUGGGUAGCAAACAGGAUUAGAUACCCUGGUAGU